rnacentral:tmRNA from 1 species
GGGGGCGUACUGGUUUCGAUCCGAAGCUGGUGAUUCGCUUUGCAUGCCGAGGAUGAUCAGUUGGCCUCGUAAAAAAUCUGGUCGACCAAAUAAAUGCAAAAAAUGCAAAUAUCGUAGCUAGCCUUCGUGGCGAAACUACAGCUCUCGCAGCUUAAUUAAACUGCGACGCUUGCGCGCUGAUACCUAUUGCGUGCGUGAGCGACACUAGUAGGUUAGCCUUGGUAGCGGAGAAACCGCGCUAACGAGGUGAAAUCUUUCGUGGUUUUUCGGGGAAAGGUAGCGUUUUGCGCCGUAGCCUCUCUCUUCAAUUAAAGCGUGAAUAAGCAUGUAGAAGGGUGUUUCGGUUAGUUUCGGACACAGGGGUUCAACUCCCCUCGCCUCCACCA